rnacentral:tRNA from 1 species
CCCCUGGUGGUCUAGUGGUUAGGAUGUGGCGCUCUCACCGCUGUGGCCCGGGUUUGAUUCCUGGUCAGGGAG